GAAGAGAGAGUUCAAGAGAACGUGAAACCGUUAUAGUGGAAGCAGAUGGAGCCGACGUAUCCAGUGCGUAUUUAGCCAUUGGCGGGUGCAAUUUGUCUGCUCGGGGUUCUGAAAAGUCCUCAGCAGGCGACUGUUGUGCUUGGUGCAUGGUGCACUUGCGUACAGAGUGCGCCGAAUCGGCUGGGCUCGGCGUUUGAGGUCUGGCCAAGAGGACCGGUUCGCAAGGACUGGAAACCCGGACCGGGCGGACAGCGCAUGAGUCUGGCUGCAAAGUCUGGUCGAAUGUGGGGCGGUCGGAGGAGUUUCGACACUGUCGGACUGGGACGCAUGCGUUUCAUCCGGCGGCCUGUUGCUCCGCUGGACGUCUCUCGGCCGGCAUUCGGUGUCUGGUCGGUGACCCAUCUGACCCGUCUUGAAACACGGACCAAGGAGUUUAAGGUUUGCGCGAGUCAUUGGGUGGGAAACUCAAAGGCGAAAUGAAAGUGGGGCACCUGGUGUCUGUGAUGCGAUCCGUGCACGACUCGUUGUGUGGGGAGCAGCAUCGACCCAUGACCAGAACUUGUUCUGUUGUGGAGUCCGAGCGCAGGCUUUGAGACCCGAAAGAUGGUGAACUAUGCCUGAACAGGACGAAGUCAGAGGAAACUCUGAUGGAAGUCCGAAGCGGUUCUGACGUGCAAAUCGAUCGUCUGAUUUGGGUAUAGGGGCGCAAGACUAAUCGAACCAUC
rnacentral:rRNA from 1 species